rnacentral:lncRNA from 10 species
CCUCCUUCCUGCCGGGGAAGGGAAGUGCGUCGGUAGGGGAGGGCUCACCUCUCCAGGUUGAAACGAUGGCGGUCAGAACCGCCUGAGCUAAAUGCAAGAUGGUAUGGCAUCCAGACUCUGCUCAUAAGUAUCUGCAGUGAUCCAUACCUUGAUUGUACAUCUACUCUGCAUCCUGAGGACCUGAACAUGCUAACUGGUGGCUGCAGAUUUGUCUUCUAAGGAGCAAGUGUGGUCUGUGGACAGGCAGCUUCAGCCUCACCUGGGAUUUUGUUUGCACUAGAAAGUGCCAAGCCCUACCCUAGACCUAUUAAAGCAGAACUGGCGUUUAACAAGACACCCCAGAGUCACUGAAAACUAAGCUGUGUUUUCUUAAAAC